GGAUCCAUAAGCUCAUUGGUUAGAGCGCCCAAACUAAGAGGUUUGGGAGGUUGGUGGUUCGAAUCCACCUGGAUCCG
rnacentral:tRNA from 2 species